rnacentral:rRNA from 1 species
GAUGAACGCUGGCGGCGUGCCUAACACAUGCAAGUCGAACGGAGAUUACGGACGGAAGUUUUCGGAUGGAAGACUGUACUUCUUAGUGGCGGACGGGUGAGUAACGCGUGGGCAACCUGCCCUAUACAGGGGGAUAGCAGCUGGAAACGGCUGGUAAGACCGCAUAAGUCGGUUAAAUCGCAUGAUUUGAUCGGGAAAUGAGCAAUCAGGUAUAGGAUGGGCCCGCGUCCGAUUAGCCAGUUGGCAGGGUAAAAGCCUACCAAGGCGACGAUCGGUAGCCGGACUGAGAGGUCGGACGGCCACAUUGGGACUGAGACACGGCCCAAACUCCUACGGGAGGCAGCAGUGGGGGAUAUUGCACAAUGGAGGAAACUCUGAUGCAGCGACGCCGCGUGAGUGAAGAAGUAUUUCGGUAUGUAAAGCUCUAUCAGCAGGGAAGAUAAUGACGGUACCUGACUAAGAAGCCCCGGCUAACUACGUG